rnacentral:rRNA from 1 species
AUACGUAGGUGGCAAGCGUUGUCCGGAUUUAUUGGGCGUAAAGCGAGCGCAGGCGGUUCAUUAAGUCUGAUGUGAAAGCCCCCGGCUCAACCGGGGAGGGUCAUUGGAAACUGGUGGACUUGAGUGCAGAAGAGGAGAGUGGAAUUCCAUGUGUAGCGGUGAAAUGCGUAGAUAUAUGGAGGAACACCAGUGGCGAAGGCGGCUCUCUGGUCUGUAACUGACGCUGAGGCUCGAAAGCGUGGGGAGCAAACAGGAUUAGAUACCCUGGUAGUCCACGCCGUAAACGAUGAGUGCUAAGUGUUGGAGGGUUUCCGCCCUUCAGUGCUGCAGCAAACGCAUUAAGCACUCCGCCUGGGGAGUACGACCGCAAGGUUGAA